CUCGAUCGUUUUGGUGGAUCCAUUAUUGAUGGACCAGGGAACCAACUUUGAAUCUCUAACAUCCAAUGAAAUCUACAUCCCUAGAUCAGAGAGGGAACCAGAUUCCCCAUCAGUCCCAGAUAGUUGCGGGACACACAGAGACGUGAUGGAUGCCCAUCACAGGGUGAAUCCGGUGCAUAGCAACCGUAGUAUUUUUAGAGUCACGUAGAGUGCAUGUUAUAACCCAGCUUUACAGAGUGACUCUCUGUCUGAUUAGUUUCUUGUGUCUCUCUCUCUCAAGUCUCCGUACUUCUGGCCGUCCAACUGCUGGGAGCCUGAGAACACUGAUUAUGCCAUCUACCUGUGCAAGCGCACCAUGCAGAAUAAAGCCAGGCUGGAGCUAGCAGACUAUGAAGCCGAGAACCUCGCCAGACUUCAGAGAGCCUUCGCCCGAAAGUGGAAUUCAUCUUCAUGCAAGCCGAGGCCAAGUGAAGUGAGUGAAACGUGUAAAUGGGCACGAAAAAGCACCAAGAAAAUACAUUUUGUUCUGAAUAUGAGAUGUGCUCAUCUACAUGGAAUGCAUGCAAAAAAUUAGGGCUUUGGUUCUUCCUGCGUUCACAUUUGUGUCCAAAGAGAGGUCCUGAAUGGCACACAUGAUUAGAAUUGUUUCUCAGGCCUUAAUCCAUGCCCUCAUGCUAACAAUGUGUUUAAUUUCGGCAUAUGCUAGACACCACCACAGCAAACAUGCUAGCUUGAUUAAUUCCAUCUAUGUAAUCCCGCCACCUAGUGGUGAUUAUGGGGGAGUACAACGGUCCACACUGUUGUUAUGGGAAAAAGCAACACCACAGAAAACAGAUUUUCUCUCCCCCAUCUAGCUAGGAAACGUUUAAAGUCAGAGUGAGUAAAUAGAAAACGCUGCAUG